GCCCUCGGCCCCCACCAGCCCGCCCACCAGGCCUCGAUGGCUCUCUCGAAUCUCGCCCGCCCUGUAGCCCCCAACUUCUCCCAAGCACGCCUUCUCAGCUCACAUCUUUCAAAGGGACCACGUGGAGAGAGAGAAAGGGAGACUCUCAGACGGCAGCAUCACCGAAAUAACCUUUCCAGUGAAUGAGAUAGAUGACAGAGGUGUCAGCCAGAUAGAGCUCUGUGGACCCAGGAAUGAGACCCACCUCUGUUGGGAAAAUUCCAUGGCGAGCCUGCUUGGAAGCUGAGACCCAAGUGUGAGGAAGCACUGCCCAGCCUAGAACAAGGAGAGGGAUUUGUUGACUGCAGUGGACAGGGC